GUGAGUUCUACAGUGGCACAUUUGAGACAUCCAAGUUGGAAGGAACCCAAUCAGAGAUGGCAUUAUUAUAUUCUGCUAAUGGUAGGGGAAAUGACAGGAGCCUGGCAUGGCUAUCCUCUGAGAGGCCCAACAAGCAGCUGAUUGAGAUAGAUGCAGAUACUUACAGCCAACCAUUGGACGGAGGUCAGGGACCCUAUGGAAGAGUUAUGGGAAGCAUUGAAGGAACUGAAGGGGAUAGCAACCCCAUAGGAAGAACAGGGUCAACUAACCUGGACCCCUGGAAGCAACCAGAGACUAAGCCACCAACCAAAGAGCAUACAUGGGCUGGUUGGAGGUCUCUGGCACAUAUGCCUUAUCUGGACUCAGUGAUUGAAAAACGUGCCUAAUCCUGAAGAGACUUGAUGCCCCAGAGAAGGAGGAAGUGAAGGGGGUUGAGUAGGAGGGGCAACAUUUGGGAUGUAAAUAAAUAAAAUGAUUAGUUUUUAAAAAGAGAAAA
rnacentral:lncRNA from 1 species